rnacentral:rRNA from 1 species
UACGUAGGGUGCGAGCGUUAAUCGGAAUUACUGGGCGUAAAGCGUGCGCAGGCGGUUUUGUAAGGUCAGAUGUGAAAUCCCCGGGCUUAACCUGGGAACUGCGUUUGAAACUACAAGGCUAGAGUGUGGCAGAGGGGGGUGGAAUUCCGACGUGUAGCAGUGAAAUGCGUAGAGAUGUGGAGGAACACCGGAUGGCGAAGGCAGCCCCCUGGGUUAACACUGACGCUCAGGCACGAAAGCGUGGGGAGCAAACAGG